CCUACGGGAGGCAGCAGUGAGGAAUAUUGGUCAAUGGACGUAAGCCUGAACCAGCCAAGUCGCGUGAAGGAAGACGGCUCUAUGGGUUGUAAACUUCUUUUGUACGUGGGUAAAGCCCGCUACGUGUAGCGGGUCGCAAGUAACCUACGAAUAAGGCACGGCUAACUCCGUUCCAGCAGCCGCGGUAAUACGGAGGAUUCAAGCGUUAUCCGGAUUUAUUGGGGUUAAAGGGUGCGUAGGUGGUUAUGUAAGUUAACGGUGAAAUUCUGGGGCUCAACCCUGGCACUGCCGUUGAAACUGUCGGACUUGAGUGUGCUAGAGGUAGGCGGAAUGCGUGGUGUAGCGGUGAAAUGCAUAGAGAUCAUGCAGAACUCCGAUUGCGAAGGCAGCAUACCAGGCUACAACUGACGCUGAAGCACGAAAGCGUGGGGAUCAAACAGGAUUAGAUACCCGGGUAGUC
rnacentral:rRNA from 1 species